rnacentral:lncRNA from 1 species
UAAAUUAGUAGUAUAAAUGUAGAAUUCUUUGAGCAACUUCUUUUGUCGGACUAUGAUGCUCUUACUGGGGAAAUAGUGGAUGGGAAAGAAAACUUUUUUUUCAAGAAAAAGAAAAGAUAAAGCACAAUUUGUGGGUUUAUGUUGAAUAUAUUAAGUUAUUUAACUAUUAACUAAAUCCAUUUAAUCUUAGUGAAUUUUCAAAGGAAAUAAGCAUGUAUAAUAUGGACCUACACCUAUCAGUAGGAUAGCACAUAAGUGGUGCUUGCUUGGAGCCCAUGGGUGAACUACAUGCCAGACAAACCAUUUUGAUGCUCAUGUAAUUCAUGACCAAGUGACUUAGGCAGUGCCAAAUUAAAGCCUAGCAGCAACAGGAACUCCUUCAUGAUAUUGGUUGGAGGCAAAGUAAACUAGCUAGCAAAGUUGAGAAAGAGCAAAUGGACAAGAGCACAAGGUAAUGUCGAAGUACUAGGGUAAAGCCAUUUGUUUUAUAAUACAGAUAGCUAGGUCCCUGGAUCUUUCAGACACUUAAACGGAAAGGAUGUGAUUCAAGUGCACUUCAAUAAAUGUGGAUCUCAUUCCAAGUGGACAUGAAAGAUAUUUCAACAACAAGGGCACAUCAAUUAUAAGAUAGUUGGACCAUGAAAGGUCCACCAUGCUCCUCUUUAGAUACUUUCACCGCCCUCUAUUCAUAAGUAAAUCAAUAACAUUAAUAUCUCCUACUUAGAGUCUUGG